GGCAGGCGCGGCUCUGAAAGGGAAAGCGAGUCACCGGGACCGCCCGCGGUCCCCCGGCGCCACCGCCGGGCCGGCUGUGUGUCCAGCGAAGAAGGGACGCCGGGGGCGCGUGCAGACCCGGAGCCCUGGGCCCUUCCACGUCCAGGAAGCAGGCCGAGGCGGCGGGGCGGGCCGUGCUGUGGCUGGGGAGGGCCCGGGGGCUCUUCACCCCGAGGGCGGUCUUGGAACGGCUGCAGGUUUCGGCCAGAACAGAGGAUUCCUGCCAGGCCCGCCGCUCACCAGCCGUCCUGAGCCCAGAUGCGGGGCCAGCGCCCAGCUCCUGGGGUGGCAGCCCCUGCCCGCCGCGGGGCUUGAGCUGUGCCGCCGGCGUGUGAGCCAAGCGGCAAAACAGAUUUGAGUGGCCUGUGCGUACCAAGGCCUGAGGAACCUUCCCUCCCAUCCAGAUAAUAUCCCCAGGAAUAGAAGAUGGAUUUAACCAAGGAUGAAAAAACAGAGCUCUCAAUAUGAAAACGCUUUUCGUUUUUUUCUCCCUCUCCUCCCAAUGAAAGAUACACAGGGGACGUGAAAUCCUUUCAGCAAUAGAUUAAAAAUCGAGAGAUUUUGAAAUGUUAUUUAUUUUUCCCAUCAAAAUCUUUCUCAUCUUAUUGUCUUAAGUAGGGUUGUAUCUGGAAAGUAUUUCCGUAUCUGGUUGGAUGUUGUGUCCCAAAAAAAAAAGAAAAGCAAGGCCCCAAAAGGAAGCACUUUUAGGGGAUCUUCCAGCACUGUCCAGAAGGGAGGAGGUUUAAGUGUUUCUCAAAGUCCCUAUUUCAUGAUUGGACAGGCCCAAGAGAAAUAACAGAGUUGUGUUGCUGGCCUGAAAAUCUGGCAAGCACGGACGAACAGGCCUCACUAACCGGGUCACAGCCAAGGUCAGUCCCUCUUUCCCUUGUAAUGUCCAAUGAGGCCGACAUGUCACGCUGGCAGCCCUUCCUGUGUCAUUUACGGGUUUCAUUGGCAAAACACAGGUCCCGCGGCUCUGCCUGCGGCACUCAGACGUGAUUUCUCAGCGGCCUACGAGGAGCACACAUGAGUUGGGCCCUAUUCUGCAGAGCCUUCCAGAGCAUUGAGGACCUCUUUCCCCCUUUAACACGUUUCUUCCAUGAGUGCCCACCCAGGUCGUGUGCGCCUGCAGAGACCUCUCGGCCCCUCCCACGCGCCCGGCACUGGCCGGGCGCUGGGCACCCCGCUGGGGACACGACCUCUGACCUGAUGUGGCUCACAGUCUCACGAGAGGCACCGAAAGUGCCCAUGAGAGCUUCUGUAGAAGAAAGAGGAGGUGGAGGGAGGAGGAGCCACGUGACCAAGAAGGUGGCGAUGCGUCCCUGUGUCCCAGCACUCCCCAACAUUGAAGGAAAGAUCAGGUUGAUGUUGGAAAAUGAACAUCAGUUAACCAGGAGAUUCCUGGAGUCACCAGUGCUCGUCCGGGAAGACCCAGCCAACGCAAGGACCCGGUACCACCCCCCGUGAGAUCAAGCCCAGAGCGGGGCCCUCCAUGGGAUGGCACCUAGAGUCGUGAUGCAGGAUGUCCUGGAGUCUCGCAGAAGAACACUUGGCACUGCCGCCCAGGCGGAGGGCAGGAUCCCCCCGUUGGCUCAGUAAUCUCACAACACCACCACCCUGCAUGUUACAUGCAGAAAUGAUUUGACUUUAAGCAUUGCCUUAUGGAGGGGUUUUUCUGGACCAAGACAUUUUAUAGAAGCUACUCAUAUUUAAAGCUUCAGUUUCACGAAGAGAUUUUUAUUUAGAAAGACUGUUUUGUCAGUGUCUGGAUUUAUGAGACACAGGCGAGGACCAGGCGGACUUGGAGAGACCAGUUAAGAAGCAAUUAAAAUGGUGGUGGAGAAGAUACGGUGAGACUCUGAAUCCAGGCAACAGCGGUGUAGCUCAGAAGGGGACACAUUUCAGAGAUCUUGGUGGGGAUGGGGGACCUGCGCAACAACCGAGGUGAUGUUGGGGAGGACCCAAGGUGGCGCUUCUGCAGCACGGUGGGGAACAGGGAGCCAAGGGGCGGAUGGCACAGGUUUGGCUGCAGGAGGAUGGACGUAUUGGGAGUGACACCAGGGAGACAGGUAUCAGAAACAAUACAAAAAGAAACAAUGUUAAAAUUCAAAGUUGUAGUUGCAGACGUGUGUCUCUAAGCACACGUUUAAGGCACUAGAGGAUUACUUCGUUCUCUUCUCUUCUGUCGUUUCUUUCAGUUUCCUUUUCAGGGCUGUGUGAACACUACCUCCUGACAGCAGUUCCAUGUAUUUGCCCCACAGAGCUGGUCGGCAGUUCUAAGAAAACACUGCAUGUCUCGUUUGUCAACUUUGUUGAGACGUGAUGGGGACCUUGGUGACCGUCUCCACCUUUGUUAACAGAGAAUAACCCCACCGGCUUUGAGCAUCACCCACUAAUCCCCCAAAGAGCAGCCUCACGCAGGUCUCUGUGCUGAAGGUGUGGGGGUUCCUUCACGACAAGGGGGUUGAUUUCCUCGUCCAGCACAGCGUUUCUCCAAGGCAGCACUGUUGACAUUUGGGACCAGAUGACCUUCCUUGUGGGGGCCUUCUUCUUUAGCAGCACCCCGGCCUCCACCCACUGGACGUCAGCUGCACUUCCCUCAAUUACGACAACCAAGAACGCCUCCAGAAAUGGCCACAGGUCUGCAAGGGGGGACAGUAGCCCCUGGCUGAGAACCGGUGUAGCAGACUCACUCAGGCCAGGAGAGCGUGAUGCCAGGAGACAGAGAGACACAGAGAAAAGUGAGCGCUUGGGAUUGAAUCUGACAUGGCCCAGGGAGUACAGGAAAGAGCAUAAAUAAAAAUGAAAAUGUUUCAUCAGUAAUUUUACAGAAGUUCCCCAGACCCGACAGUGAUUAUGUGUCAAGUCAGAAUGAGAAUUUCAGUUGUUCUGUAUCCUCUCCCACCCCCACCCCAGCCUGGCGACUACAUCCGCCAGUGAGCCGGGAGAAGGGACCCCAGCGAGCCCCGGUUGGGAUCCACGGAUGCACUUCAGGGGACCGUGCACACACCCCAAUAUUACUUAUUAUUAAUUGUAUUACAUAUUAAUUAUAUGUAUUAUAUUGAUCUACGUUAAUUAUAUUAGCGUUGUACAGAUGGCAAUUUUCUAGGACACCUUCACCAAAUCGUCAAAGAACCCUAAAACAGAAAGAGGCUAACCCCUUCCCUAAGGUAUGAUCAUCCGUACACAAGGUCACAAAACCUUUCAGAGCAGUGAACUAUAGCCCCCUAAAUACUUCCGGAAGAUGUAAGGUCGCAUUUGCAUUGGGUCCUUCUUUCACCAUGCGUGCUUACAAAAAAAGACCCGUUUUUCACAAAGUUCACUUCAGCUGCAUUUCAGUGUUAAGUCUACUUUUAGCCAAAGUUUAAAAUAAAACAAGGUUGAAAUCCUUGGUCUUUUUGUAAACAGAACUGUAGUCUUAACCUUACUUAUCAGAGAUGCAAUUUUGCUGUAACACACGGAGGCUCUUGACCAGAGAACAUGACUCGAUGACUUGAUUUCUCCCAAGACCCUGGGAAAUGUCCUGUCCUCCACAGCUCAGCUUUCUACCCACGCCUGCCCUUUCUCCAUCACCAUGGUGGCCCUCCUGCCCCCUGCAGGCCCCACUGGCUCUCAUGAGCUGGUGUGAAGGUGUGGAAAGACCAGCUUUACGGAAUCACAGGAGAAAACGUGCCUGGUGCUUCCUGUGCAGUGGGCACGCACCCCUGGGCCAUCUGGGCAGCUGUGUCUCCUUUUGCUCCCAGGAGACCAUGGCCAGGGCAGAGAGAGGCUCAGGGGCAGGAAAAGCAAGUUUCCCGAGCUGCCCUCCUUACCCAGCAUUCUCCAGAAGCUGAUGGCAGAAGUGCCACCCUCCACACAGGCAAGUCUGUGGUCCUGAGGACCUUCCCUGAUGGAAGGUCUGGAGCCAAGCCUUGCUGUAGUCACCUGGUCAUCAGCACCCCUGCCAGUGGACGCCGGGUGUGGUCAGCAGAAUAAGGGCUGCCCGAAGAAGUCCAUGUCCUGAUCCCGCAAACCUGUGACUGGUCCACCUUACGUGGCAAGAGGGACUUUGUGGAUGUGGUCAAGUCAAGGAUCUGGCGAUGGGGAGAUGGUCCUUAUAAGUGAGAAGCAAGGGGGCCAGAGGCAGAGCAGGAGAGGUGAGGACUGAAGGAAAGGUCAGAGUGACAUGGGGCCAAAGCCAAGCGAAUCAAGCGCCUCUAAAAGCCAGAAAAGGCAAGGAAGUGGGUUCUCCUCCCCUAGAGCCUCCAGAAGGAGCAGCCCUGCCCACCUGUUCUGAACAUCUGAGCUCCGGGACUGUAAGAUAAUACGCUUUGGUGGUUUUCAGCCAGGAAGUUCGCAGUACUUUGUUAUAGGAAACAAAUACACCUGUUUGUUCACAAGCAACCUGGCUGCCUGGGCUCGUGACUGGUGUCCCUGGGCAACAGGACCCCUGAGGGCUGGAGACCCCCCUGCCCCUUUACCGCAGUGGCCAGCACUUCUCGGAGCCGGCACCAGACAUGCUCAUCUCUCAGACUCUCACGAACCCAUGCUGGGGGCCGUGCAGGUGUGACCCCGCUUGAGCUACAGGGAGGUCACUGAUGAACCUGCCGUGUGAUUCCAGAGCCUGAACCGCUACCUAACGCGCCCCCACCCCACCC